rfam:Corchorus olitorius cultivar O-4 contig16264, whole genome shotgun sequence.
AAGAUAAGAGCCAGUCAGGAUAGCCAAAGGAGACUGCCCAAAAACCAAUGAAAGGACUCCGAUGAGACUUUUAUCAUAACAUUCUUCCUUCCUUUUUUCCCUCAAAAUCCCCUGUUUUGGAUUUAGGCAAGUCAUCCUUGGCUACCUAACAACACUCUUAAAAUCU